rnacentral:rRNA from 2 species
UGGGGAAUAUUGCACAAUGGGGGAAACCCUGAUGCAGCCAUGCCGCGUGUGUGAAGAAGGCCUUCGGGUUGUAAAGCACUUUCAGCGAGGAGGAAAGGGGUGAUGCUAAUACCAUCAUCCUGUGACGUUACUCGCAGAAGAAGCACCGGCUAACUCCGUGCCAGCAGCCGCGGUAAUACGGAGGGUGCAAGCGUUAAUCGGAAUUACUGGGCGUAAAGCGCACGCAGGCGGUUGGAUAAGUCAGAUGUGAAAGCCCCGGGCUCAACCUGGGAACUGCAUUUGAAACUGUUCGACUAGAGUCUUGUAGAGGGGGGUAGAAUUCCAGGUGUAGCGGUGAAAUGCGUAGAGAUCUGGAGGAAUACCGGUGGCGAAGGCGGCCCCCUGGACAAAGACUGACGCUCAGGUGCGAAAGCGUGGGGAGCAAACA